UAAUUAAUUAAUUAAUUAAUUGGCAGAAAAAUGCAUUAGAAUUAGAAUCUAAUUAAACUUUAA
rnacentral:tRNA from 1 species